UAUUAAUCUAAAUAAAUCCAUAUUAAAAUUGCGUGUUGCGUUAUCUACGUUUGACUUGUUCUGCACGAAUUUUAUUAUAGUCCAAAAUUUACAUAUGUGUCUAUGAUUUUACAAUUAUAUUUUUAAUUCAAUAAAAAAGAAAUAUUGCAAUAUGGUUAUAUUUCCUUUCAUAAUAUUUAUCACAGAAUUUAAUAGGAAUUUUUUCUACCUUUAUUUUCACUCCGCGAAAAUCAAACUCUUCAUGUGUGUGUGUGUGCGCGCGCGCGCGCGCAACGUAGUGCAAAAUAUUUUUGUUAAAGAUAUAUAUUCACUAAAAAAUGUGUGUGUUUUUAUGUGAUAUGUUUCCCCCGCGAUUCUGUAAACCCUCGAUGACGAUUGAAAUAAAUAUCGCGAGAAUUACACGUUCCAUUAAAUGAUAGAAGCGUUAUACUAUCGAGAGGCGAGUUUAUUAUGUUAGAUCCGCCUCCAUGGUUCUUGACACACUUAGGUUAAAGAGCCCAUUACGGCACGGCUGAACGUUAGAGACUAUCACGUAACUAGGAAGAGCACGGCCGAGUACCAUCGAUGCGAGAUUUACGUCCUCCUGUCAUUCGAGAGCGCGCCGACUUCGACGAAUGCUUCUAUCAUAACGCGAAUGGAAGCCGAGAGUCGCUGGUUCUCGUCGGCGUUUAAAGUGCGGUGCCCGCUAAAGGAUGGAAACGUCAGCCUUUCAAGUCGAACUUGGUAUCGUGUUAAGGGUUCUCUCUUUUCCUCUCUUCCCAUCCCCGAUCGUGUUCCGCUUUCCGUUAACUUUGUUUCCUUUCUCUCGUCACCCUCCGAUCAAUUCCGCGAUAGUGAAUGACCAAAAUUCUAUCUAUUAUACUUCAACACGUCUUGAUUGGCCGUUGAAGCAGCCACCGGGUUUCAAGACCCUUGGUUUUUAUUUUUAGACUGAUUAUACACGAUACAUAAUACACAGAUGAAGAGCUUUUUCACGCAAUUUCAAUCUCCCUCGCGCCGAAAGGAAAAAGCGUACUCGGGGUUUAGGCGAAUGAGAGGCAGGAAUGAAGGACGAGAGGGCCACGUUCGGGAGAAAAGAGGGACCACCGGGAGACGUGAGCCGUGAAUAAACAUGGAAAUGCUUGUAAUUUUUACAACGCGCCGCUUUGUACCUCCGGUUCGUCGUCCACCGACAACUAUCCCAUCUCACCGAGAUCUGCUUACAACGCGUUUCUGUAACUUGGCGGAAUACUCGUCGAAAUCCUUGAGGCGAUAUCGCGCGAAAUAACCCGCGUCGGAACUUUCCCGGAGCAUUGCCCUGCUCCGGGAGAAAUUACGUAAUUUUACUUGGCGAUUAUAAAUUUCUGGCUUAAAUGCGGCAACUCGGGGCAUAACUCUAAUAUAAAUUAAGAAUGUUAAAAUCUACGAAAUAGCACGCGAGAGUAUAUGACAUUUCACAAAUAUUUCUGAGAUUCUCCCGGUAUUUUUUAUUCCGACGUCGAUCAUAUGUUUGCAACGAUUAUUGUAAGUUCUAUCUGUUUGAAAAUUAUACUCAAAGCAUCCCAUUCAACUGAUUUUAUCGACCGGUAGUAGACGAGUCUCACUCUUGCCCCUCCCGUUUUCGAUUUUCCUUCUCAUCCUCUCGCGAGUGUCGGUCAAUACGACAAAUCCGCCGGCAAUAAAACACCGACACGGCCGCUCUGCCGUUCCUCUUUUUUUGGCAUUUUCUCUCCCAUCCUUUGUCCCUGUUCCUCUUUUUCAUUUCGCGCUCCGUUUGUCUCGCUCGGUCUCGCCUUUUCGCUCCCCUUCCCUUUUUCUCUCUCUCUCUCUUUCUCUCUCUCUCUCUCUCUCUCUCUCUUCCUCACUGUCUUUUUUUGCAAAAGUACCGCUAGUAUGCACGUACGCGAGCAGCCUGUAUGGAUCGCGACUGCGUUGGUCCAACACCGAAUAAUAAAUUAUAGUCGGACUGUGGUGCGCGUGCACUCGAAUUUUCGACCAUGGGAAAACAGCGCGGGCAACGAUUCGCUCAUCUCCGACAAAAUAUUGAAAAGCGGUUCAAGAUAUCGAUAUAGCGUGAAAAUAGAGAAAUAUUCAUAUCAUCCCUGCAAUUUAAAAACAAAGAGAGAAACACAAAUCACUCCUUUAUCGAAGAACAAAUAACUCUUUGAUUAAUAGUCUA